GGAGGGUUGGCAGAGUGGUCUAACGCGCCGCACUUGAAAUGCGGUUUCCCGGAAACGGGAUCACAGGUUCGAAUCCUGUACCCUCCG
rnacentral:tRNA from 2 species